GGGUUAGUAGGUUGGUCAUGCCUCUGGUAUGUACUGGUCUCACUGAUUCCUCCUUCCUGAUGAACCUUAAUGCCAUUUAUUUGGUGUUUUGGGGAAUUUGGACUGUUACUUUGAAAAAAUUAGAGUGUUUAAAGCAAGCUAACGCUUGAAUACAUUAGCAUGGAAUAAUGAAAUAGGACGUUCGAUCCUAUUUUGUUGGUUUUCAGAAAUGAAGUA
rnacentral:rRNA from 1 species